GUAAAAAUACUUCGUGAAAAAUUCAGUAUUUAUUUUCGUAUACAUAUACCUGCGAACAGGCUGUACUUGAACGUCCAAAAUUUGGCUUCACCCAAACAUAGGCCUUUAUCAUAGGAGUUAUCGUUGCAGUUUACUUGUAGUUCAAUGGGCUGUAUAUGUGAGUUUUUAAAGUGGUACACAGUGUCCCACUUUAAACAGUGUUACCCUAGAAUAGUUCAUCACAUGGUGGUGAACACUGAGAGGAAAGAUUGUUAACACAGUGUAACUAAAUUGUUCACUAUAUGUAUAUUGAUCUUAUGUUUGGUGACAAAUACAUGUACCGGAAACAUUUAGCAUCAUUUGUUUAGCCCGAUAAUUGUCA